GGGGAUUUAGCUCAGUGGUAGAGCGCUUGCCUAGCAAGCGCAAGGCCCUGGGUUCGAUCCCCAGCUCCG
rfam:Rattus norvegicus chromosome 12, whole genome shotgun sequence.